rnacentral:sRNA from 1 species
GCCGGGCGUAGUGGCUCGCGCCUGUAAUCCAAGCACUCUGGAGGCCAAGACAGGCGAAUUACCUGUGGUCAGGAGUUCUAGACCAGCCUGACCAACAUGGUGAAACCCUGUCUUAA